AAAUACUUUUAAGUAUAAGGAGGAGUGCCUGGGAAUAUACAGACAUUUGGUUCAGUAGUUAAUGUAAAGAGUCCUUGAAAUGCCAGUUCUGUGAGAGACAGCGUUCAGCUGCUGGAGGAUGGGCAAGAGAGGACCCAGGCGCUGGUGGGAGGGUGAAGCACCCUCUCCAAGGGCGGCUUCCUGCGAGGAGGGGGCAGAUGACCCCAUCUCUCCACUCACAGCUUGCGUUCUCUUUCUCCCUCUACUCUGGGCACCAUCUAAAGAUGAGUUAAUGGGCAAAUCUGCCUUUAAUUAUAAAGGGCUGUAGAAGAUUUCCUUUUCAGAGCAGGGGACCCUACAUCUCCAUCCCUGGACUGAGGGAUCCUUGAUGCUCCCUCUGCAUUCCCUCUCUCCUUGCUGUGGCAGGCACCGGGUCCCCGUUUCAGGUGGUUUCCUUCCCUCCCACCUGCUGCUGGGGGAAGAGUGCCCACACUCAGCACAGCCGCGGGAGCCUGCUCUGGUCAGCAGGGCUCGCUCCUCUAACCCUGGCUGCAACACACUGGUUUGCUGUCCUCCACCAUCAAAGUCCCCGAGUGAAGCUCUGCACCCCAAGAACAUGGAGCUGAUACUGCCUGGCAAAAGGUAGCGGUGAGCAGCCACCAUCUCCCUGCCCAGGCUGUUUCAGUUGUACCCUUCCCGCCUGGUGCUGGUCUGCAGCCCACCCAUAACCCAACUGACACAUUCAAGCUGAGGUCUCUCACCAGAUGUGGCUGUUGUGGAGAGCCAUUUGAAAACUGUGGACCUGUGAAUACUGUUCCCAUUUUUUAAUGACUACAGAAGACAUCUGAGGACUCCAUGCUGCUUUUGGGAUGAAAAUUUCACCAUUGAGAAUAGAAGAUGUAGACCAUGGAAGCCUGACACUUUACAUCCCAAAUUACCACGUAUUUUGAGAUGCAGUUUGGUGGAAAGACUGUCCACAAAGCAGGGUGAAAGAAGACUUGUCUGACUUGUGUGAUGCCUUGCAGGCAAUCCCGUUUGUACCAAAUUGUUCCAUUACAACUACUCUAAACUUCUCUAACCUUUCCGCUCCCUCAUCUGGACACUCCCCUCCUUCCCACUUAGCCUCAUUUCCAAACAGCCUCUCUUUCUUCAUAUGCUUCAUGUCCAAAAACUUCUUCCACCAAGCCCAGGAGAACAAAAUGCUGGAGUGCUGCAGAUGCAUUGCAAGAGAGUUGAGAAAGAUGGGGUCCCACCAAGGGCUCAUUUGUUGAAAAAUGAGCCUGAAUAGGAAAGGCAGCUCAAGGCGACCCAGCCACGUUCUGCUGCAGAGGAGAGCAGAGAUAACAGUUCAGAGAAGGUGGCAAGAGAGGUGAGGGUGAGCCGGCUGCAGAAAGAGGGAGCGGGCUCUGCUCCUCUGCUGGCAGGGCACCAGCAGAGGAUGUGGGAGCAGCCCUCAGACACCGCUAAAUGUGCAGCUGCCCCAGCCCGGAGUUUGGUGCAAAAUGUUUGCAGAGCCCAGAGCAAAUACUCAGGUAGCUAACCCAUGAGUGCCAUGCUGUCAGGACUGCCCACUUCUGAUACCUCCCGGUGUUUGCGAGGGUCAGAUAUAUCCACACAGGCUGCAAUCUCAGCUGGCCAGCAUAGCUACCCCAUAGAUGCCUUAGGAGCCUACAUAAUUUCAGCAGAUCCCCGACUUGUCUGUGGGCCACAGCACUGAAAGAAAAGCUCAUCAGUAAUACAUGCUCCUGUUUUAUCUGCAGCAAGUCCCUUCACAUCCCACUUUUUGCAGCAGUUUGCCUUCCGCAGGGCAUUAUCAGGAGUCAGUAAAAGGCAGUCUCGCUGCUCCCCUCCAUAGUGCUGACAGCAGUGCCUGCAGCCCCUUCGGGUCUGGGGCUAAGAGAGUUCACAAGGGCGAUGCAGGCUGUUGUGAGCCAGACAGUCGGAGUUUAAUUUACUAAUAGAGAUACAAUCUAAGCGGCUACAGAUUUUCUGGGCACUUCUGCGGCUCUCCGAGCCUCUUCUGUGGCAGGGGGAGGCUGCGCUGCCUGCGCAGCAUUCACCCAAGUUUUCCAAGUGUGAAAUGUGCAGCAAAGAAAGGAACUGGGAUGCGAAAGAGUGGCAGCUGCUCCAGGGCUGUUAGAGAGGCUCUUUUACAGGCGAAUGAACCAUCAAUUUGUAGUAAGACAUUGUUUUCUAAACAUAGCAUAAAAACUGUUAUCUUGCCUGGCUGGUCAUUAGAAGAGAGAUAAUUAUAGCCUCUGUGUGACAGCCUGGCGCAGAACAGGGGCUGCAUUGUCCCAGGGUCCAGCUGAGUUCUAGCGCAGGCACCCCAGGCCAGCGCUGGGACAAGGGGGCUCCUUGUGCCCCGGCAAGUUCAAAAGAGGAAUCGAAGUGCUCUAAGUAGGUGCUAAGCACCUAUUUCGCUCUCUGACUCCGGCCUUAAAAACUACUCCACAGGAGAAAGGUGAGGAGGGCAGAGCUGUGACUGCUGUAGCUCCAUCCUCCCUGGCUUUAGAUACAACACAUACUAUGACUGUUAUUUUUCUCUCCUUAAAAAACCCCCCAAAACUCUAGGUUUGCAUUUAUUUUUGUUUUGUGUUUCUGUUUUCCAACACAGACCAAUGAGACCUGUAUGAUGGAUGGACAUUCAGAAGGAAGGACAUACUACCUGUUUAGGGUCUACUUUCUGAGCCCUGAAUGGGAGGUUUAAACCUCAGCUGCUGCUGCAGCACGCUGGAGGAGUCCUGGUGGACUCCAAGCUUCAGGGGGCCAGCACAUCCCCCAGGGCUGUCAGGAAAUCCUAGACUAUUACUUUUCACCACCCAUCCAGAAAAGAUGGUGCUUCCCCACCCCAUUGCACUGGGCCAACACGCACCUCACUGCUCCGGCAUCUGCCCAUGCCAGUCCCUCUGUGUUCAGGGAGUUCGUGUCUAUGGGUGCCACAGCGUUUUUUUUCUAUGUGUUUAGCCAAUGUGUUACACUGGAGAAGGAAUACAGUCGUAGCUGCAUAUAGUAAACUGAGCUAUCACUUUGAUUGCUCAUUUCAGCCAGGUGCCCCAAAUGACUUACCUAUCAUCAUUUAGGAGACUUUUGGUAAAACGGAGACUUAAACAUGCAUGUCCCGAGCCUUGGGUUAGCAUGUAAAGCUACUGGGCAGUAUUUGCUGUCUAGAGCUUUAUUUGUGGCUCAGAGGUGAAAAGGAAAAAGUUAAAAAUUCUCCAGGCAGACCAGGUACAGUCAAGUCUUUGAUGCUGCUGUUAUGUAAACUUCAGGUUUAUUUUUAGCAAUGUUUUCUAAAAAGCAAUGGCCAGAAAUAAUAAAUAAUUCUGUUGUUUCACGUGAAAUAAUUAGCCUGUUUUUCCAGUUUCUGUGUUCACACUGUAGCUCAGGCAGUCUCCUUUUAGAAAUAUUCCAAUUAAUCAAGUGUGACAACAGGAAGUGUAAAAAUUAAGUUCCUACUACUUCUUUGAAAGUAAGUAAGUAGCUGGGUGAAGAGGGAACACCUUGUUAAUGUCUCCACUAAAGGAAAGACUUUGGUAGGAUCUCAUUCUUAUUAGACAGAAAAGAAUCCAUAUAGGGUACCUUUCUUGCAUCCCAAGUGUGAGGAAACCUGGUUUAGCUAGUAAAACUACUUGAUUCAACCAGCCAGUGGUAAGUCAUGUGUAAGAAUACUACUAGGAAAAGAAGUGUCUUACAUAAAGUAGUGAGCAAGUUAAGAACAUAACAUUCCUACUAGAGGUGGAAGCACAAAGCAAUAUUCAGAUUUAUUGGUAGGACAGUCGAGGCUUCUUUUUUAAAAAAAUAUUUCUUAUGUCUUGCAUAACAGAAAGACAGGAAGUCUUUUCUGUAAUCCCAGUGAGAACAACCCCAGCAACUCAAAGGAUUAGAUAAAAUAUGCAAGCAAAAUAAGUCUGUUUAAAAUAAGACACUAAUUUAAUAUUCCAAAAGUAAUGUGUGUGUGUAAUACAGUUAUUUUUGCUUGAGUUCUCCUUGCAUCUCUGAAAGAGACCAGUCUUACAGCCAUGACUGUCAUUCAAGUGAUGAACUGAAUAAAGUCUGAAGAACAUGGUACUACAGAUACAAAAACCCAGAGAUAUUCUUUGAACGUAGUCAAAUACAAGGUGUUUUUAACUUUAGGAUGUAUAUGGUAAAAUACAAACUAUAAACAUAUAUGACUCCAUUGCUCUUCUCAGUCAAAUGUAUUUUUAAAGCCAUCUAAACUACUUUUUAUCUGUGUGUGCUCACUUGAUUUUGGAGUUUUGUUCAAAUUUUGGAGAGGUUAGAGGAAAAAGAAUGUGCUCCAAGGAGGAUCUGCCUCUGUAAUCUGUAAUUCUUUUAUUGCUCUGAAUGUGGUGUAGUUCCCAUAAACUCUAGGAACAAAAUAUUUACUGGGGUUCAAAGUUUGCUUGGGGCAUUUGGUUCAUGUUCAUACUAGUCUGAGAGAAAUCACAUUUUGAAGAGACUUAUCGAGACUCUAAUCUCUCCACAGAGAGCUGAAUGGCUGUGGCAGGCUUGACAAUGCUAUUCAUUUUUGGAACCUCACUAGCAAAACAAGCACUCAGCACAAAAGGAUAUAUAGCAUCUAGGCUACUGUACUGUUCAUACAUCUGUAUCUAUCAUCUAGCAAGGGAGUUCACACCAUAUAAAUACAUAUCAAUAGAAUAAUACCAUUUUCCAUUCUGUAUCUUGGGGAUUAGUAUUCCCCAGUGUCAGGUAGUGCUGAAUAAUGAUACAACACACACCUUCCUAUUGAUCAAAGAGACAAAAAGUCUUAAAAGCAAAACUGUUUUAAACCUAGGGAACAAGUUGCAUUACCUGUUACACACUAUUUGAACAGUUGGCAUAUAUAUGUCUAUUGGUGCAUGACUAACAUAUUCUUUAUUAAUACUUAACACUAUUCUUUAUCAAAUAAUUAAGCUCUUGCUGUUCAGGCAGUGAGUAUAUGUGUCCACUUUAACAGUAGGGAUUUAAUGCUUUUAUAAAUACUUAAUAAAGUAUAUAUAAUUUAAAGUACAGUUUCAUUCUACAUCUAUGUCUUCAUCUUCUUAGGUCUUUGAUCCUAUGCACACAGCUGGAAUGCUAAACAAAAAAUUACGUCCCUACAGUUUCUUAGCAGUGAAAAUAUUUAACUAUUAUCAACAGGCAAAAAAGCAACUCCCCCCUC